rnacentral:lncRNA from 1 species
GGGUGCUAGCUCUCUUACAGAGAUUGCAUCUUGAUGGUUGAAAAUCUUCUUUUCUCUCAAGACACUCUUAGAGAAGAAGAAGAACAUAAGAGGAUGUUGAUCUCUACACUAGAGAUCAUGAGAAGAACCAUUUCUUCUCUUUUCUUCUUAAAAUUCAUGCACUAAAUCUUUACAAUAAAGAUGUAAAAAUUUUAUUCAACUUUUGGAUAAAGAAGAGAGGAAAAACCCAUAUCUAAACAUGGAUAAAAGGG